rnacentral:rRNA from 1 species
UGGUGGAGUGAUUUGUCUGGUUUAUUCCGAUAACGAACGAGACCUCAGCCUUGCUAAAUAGUUGCAUGAAAUCUUUUGAUUUCUUGAUCAACUUCUUAGAGGGACUUUCGGUGGUUAGCCGGAGGAAGCUUGAGGCAAUAACA